rnacentral:rRNA from 1 species
UACGUAGGGGGCGAGCGUUGUCCGGAUUUAUUGGGCGUAAGGAGCGUGUAGGCGGCCAGGUAGGUCUGCUGUGAAAACUCGAGGCUCAACCUCGAGACGUCGGCGGAAACCAUCUGGCUAGAGUCCGGAAGAGGAGAGUGGAAUUCCUGGUGUAGCGGUGAAAUGCGUAGAUAUCUGGAGGAACACCGGUGGCGAAGGCGGCAUCCUGGACCAAUUCUGACGCUGAGGAGCGAAAGCCAGGGGAGCAAACGGG